CAGUUAAGCGAGUGUAGAACUUACCAUUGACACACAUGAUGAAUGCAACAUGUUCCACAACAUGGAGCAUCAGGAUGGUGAUAGUAGGUCAGUCAGUGUGUCACCAUCAGUCCAUGAAAAGAUGAGCUUUUCACAUCAAAGCUAAAGACAACUCAUUUGGAGGAAGAAAAUGCAGAAAUGAAAUGAAACAACUGUUUAGUUGUUUAGUCACAAAGAUUCCUAUUUGCAUCCUCUGUCUGACAGAAGCACUGCAACAUCCUGGAUGCCCACCUGGCCUCGGCCACCAACGCUAGAGAGUACAGCUUCCUCCAGCAGAUGACACAGCAAGAGCAUUUCACCUCCGCAUGGCUGGGAGGCUUCUAUCUGGGCCAGUGGAUGUGGAUUGACCAUGAUAGUUUCAAUGGCUUGUCCGAUCUCUACUCCCCCAGCAACUACCACUGCGUCUACUUACGCACCAAGGAUCAAUUGACUCACACAUUGUGUGGCACUUAUUAUCCCUUCAUCUGUUCCAAGGUCCCUGAGAAUUGUUAAUAUACAGACUUCUCAUCUGGGGCCUUUAGACGGAUCAGCCAGGAGUGUUAAAUGAUUAAAUAUGAAGUUACUGUUGUGUAAAAACAUUUCUGUUUGUGGUUAUGGCAGCAGUUCUGUAAUAAAAACUUGAAAGAA